GGUUAUAGCUCAGUGGCAGAGUGCUUGCCUAGCAUGUGUGAGGCCCUGGGUUCAAUCCUCAGCACCA
rnacentral:tRNA from 1 species